rnacentral:misc_RNA from 1 species
AUCUCAGGUUUCACCCCAGUGUUUCGGAUACGAGAUAGCUGCUCGGGUGACUUAAACCCAGCCCAAUGAGAUGAAAGCCAAUCUCUUCUUUUAGGAACAUAAUCUUUGCUAGCCAAGAAUUCUUCAUUGAGGAUGGAAUUGACCUUCUCUUGUAUCUUUUGAAUAUCUUCUUCAACCACCUGCCCAGAUUCUAAAAGUUUCGUUCGGUAAAUCUCAAGAGAUGAGGGAUGAUUUCGAAUGACCUGAUACAUUUUUGGUUGUGUGAAAGAUGGCUCAUCGAUCUCAUUAUGUCCAAAUCGACGAUAACACACCAAAUCAACCACAACAUCAGAAUGGAAAGUCUGGCGCCACUCAGCUGCAAG